rnacentral:rRNA from 1 species
AUUGAACGCUGGCGGCAGGCCUAACACAUGCAAGUCGAACGGUAACAGGAAGAAGCUUGCUUCUUUGCUGACGAGUGGCGGACGGGUGAGUAAUGUCUGGGAAACUGCCUGAUGGAGGGGGAUAACUACUGGAAACGGUAGCUAAUACCGCAUAACGUCGCAAGACCAAAGAGGGGGACCUUCGGGCCUCUUGCCAUCGGAUGUGCCCAGAUGGGAUUAGCUAGUUGGUGGGGUAACGGCUCACCAAGGCAACGAUCCCUAGCUGGUCUGAGAGGAUGACCAGCCACACUGGAACUGAGACACGGGCCAGACUCCUACGGGAGGCAGCAGUGGGGAAUAUUGCACAAUGGGCGCGAGCCUGAUGCAGCCAUGCCGCGUGUAUGAAGAAGGCCUUCGGGUUGUAAAGUACUUUCAGCGGGGAGGAAGGGAGUAAAGUUAAUACCUUUGCUCAUUGACGUUACCCGCAGAAGAAGCACCGGCUAACUCCGUGCCAGCAGCCGCAGUAA